GGAGGAAUAUUGGGCAAUGGGCGAAAGCCUGACCCAGCAACGCCGCGUGGAGGAUGAAGGCCUUCGGGUCGUAAACUCCUUUUGAGGGAGACGAGCAAGGACGGUAUCCCUCGAAUAAGCCACGGCUAACUACGUGCCAGCAGCCGCGGUAAAACGUAGGUGGCGAGCGUUAUCCGGAUUCAUUGGGCGUAAAGAGCUUGUAGGUGGUUCUGUAAGUUGGACGUGAAAACUCCGGGCUUAACUUGGAGAGGCCGUUCAAUACUGCAGGGCUAGUGGAUGUCAGAGGGGAGUGGAAUUCCUGGUGUAGCAGUGAAAUGCGUAGAUAUCAGGAGGAACACCCGUGGCGAAGGCGGCUCCCUGGGGCAUCCCUGACACUGAGAAGCGAAAGCUAGGGGAGCAAACGGG
rnacentral:rRNA from 1 species